rnacentral:rRNA from 1 species
GACGAACGCUGGCGGCGUGCUUAACACAUGCAAGUCGAGCGGAGCGGCGAACGGGUGAGUAACGCGCGAGUAACUGCCCCCCUCUCUGGGAUAACAGUUGGAAACGGCUGCUAAUACUGGAUAGUGGGGGAUGACUCGCGUCCUAUCAGCUCGUUGGUGGGGUAGUGGCCUACGAAGGCGACGACGGGUAGCCGGCCCGAGAGGGCGACCGGCCACAUUGGGCUGAGAUACAGCCCAAACUCCUACGGGAGGCAGCAGUGGGGAAUAUUGCGCAAGGGGCGAAACCCUGAUGCAGCAACGCCGCGUGCGGGGUGACGGCCUUCGGGUUGUAAGCCGCUUUCAGCCGUGACGCGGUAGUGGCAAAGGAAGCACCGGCUAACUACGUGCCAGCAGCCGCGGUAAUUC